AAAGAACUGCACGACUGGCGGAAAGCAGGGAUAUCCUGUGGUAGGGAAACCUACAGGGAGUGCAGAUCAUCAAGAAAGCCGACCGCCUGGGCGCAUGCA
rnacentral:ncRNA from 2 species